CCUACGGGAGGCAGCAGUGAGGAAUAUUGGUCAAUGGGCGUAAGCCUGAACCAGCCAAGUCGCGUGAGGGAUGAAGGUUCUAUGGAUCGUAAACCUCUUUUAUAAGGGAAUAAAGUGUGGGACGUGUCCUGUUUUGUAUGUACCUUAUGAAUAAGGAUCGGCUAACUCCGUGCCAGCAGCCGCGGUAAUACGGAGGAUCCGAGCGUUAUCCGGAUUUAUUGGGUUUAAAGGGUGCGUAGGCGGCCUUUUAAGUCAGCGGUGAAAGUCUGUGGCUCAACCAUAGAAUUGCCGUUGAAACUGGGAGGCUUGAGAAUGUUUGAGGCAGGCGGAAGGCGUGGUGUAGCGGUGAAAUGCUUAGAUAUCACGCAGAACCCCGAUUGCGAAGGCAGCCUGCCAAGCCAUGACUGACGCUGAUGCACGAAAGCGUGGGGAUCAAACAGGAUUAGAUACCCCAGUAGUC
rnacentral:rRNA from 1 species